AUUGAACGCUGGCGGCAGGCCUAACACAUGCAAGUCGAACGAGUGGCGGACGGGUGAGUAAUGUCUGGUAAACUGCCCGAUGGAGGGGGAUAACUACUGGAACCGGUAGCUAAUACCGCAUACCCUCGGAUGUGCCCAUGUGGGAUUAGAUAGUCGGUGGGGUAACGGCUCACCUAGGCGACGCUCCCUAGCUGGUCUGAGAGGAUGACCAGCGACACUGGAACUGAGACACGGUCCAGAGUCCUACGGGAGGCAGCAGUGGGGAAUAUUGCACAAUGGGCGCAAUCCUGAUACAGCCAUGCCGCGUGGAUGAAGAAGGCCUUCGGGUUGUAAAGUACUUGCAGCGAGGAGGCGUUACUCGCAGAAGAAGCACCGGCUAACUCCGUGCCAGCCGCCGCGGUAAUAC
rnacentral:rRNA from 1 species